rnacentral:rRNA from 1 species
CCUACGGGAGGCAGCAGUGGGGAAUAUUGCACAAUGGGCGAAAGCCUGAUGCAGCAACGCCGCGUGAGGGAUGACGGCCUUCGGGUUGUAAACCUCUUUUAGUAGGGAAGAAGCGAAAGUGACGGUACCUGCAGAAAAAGCACCGGCUAACUACGUGCCAGCAGCCGCGGUAAUACGUAGGGUGCAAGCGUUGUCCGGAAUUAUUGGGCGUAAAGAGCUCGUAGGCGGUUUGUCGCGUCUGCUGUGAAAUCCCGAGGCUCAACCUCGGGCUUGCAGUGGGUACGGGCAGACUAGAGUGCGGUAGGGGAGAUUGGAAUUCCUGGUGUAGCGGUGGAAUGCGCAGAUAUCAGGAGGAACACCGAUGGCGAAGGCAGAUCUCUGGGCCGUAACUGACGCUGAGGAGCGAAAGCAUGGGGAGCGAACAGGAUUAGAUACCCUGGUAGUCCAUGCCGUAAACGUUGGGCGCUAGAUGUAGGGACCUUUCCACGGUUUCUGUGUCGUAGCUAACGCAUUAAGCGCCCCGCCUGGGGAGUACGGCCGCAAGGCUAAAACUCAAAGGAAUUGACGG